rnacentral:rRNA from 1 species
CCUACGGGGGGCAGCAGUGGGGAAUAUUGCGCAAUGGGCGAAAGCCUGACGCAGCGACGCCGCGUGAGGGAUGAAGGUCUUCGGAUCGUAAACCUCUGUCAGCAGGGAAGAACGGUCACUGUGCUAAUCAGCAGUGAAUUGACGGUACCUGCAAAGGAAGCACCGGCUAACUCCGUGCCAGCAGCCGCGGUAAUACGGAGGGUGCGAGCGUUAAUCGGAAUUACUGGGCGUAAAGGGCUCGUAGGCGGUAUGUCAAGUCAAGGGUGAAAUCCCCGGGCUCAACGUGGGAACUGCCUUUGAAACUGGCAGACUGGAGUGUGUGAGAGGAUGGUGGAAUUCGAGGUGUAGGAGUGAAAUCCGUAGAUAUCUGGAGGAACAUCAGUGGCGAAGGCGACUAUCUGGCACAUAACUGACGCUGAGGAGCGAAAGCGUGGGUAGCAAACAGGAUUAGAUACCCCUGUAGUC